GUGGGUAUAGCUCAGUGGCAGACCUCAUGCUUAACAUGCUUGAGGUCCUGGGUUCAAUCCCCAGCACCUCCA
rnacentral:tRNA from 1 species